rnacentral:rRNA from 1 species
GUCUGURGCAAUACAGAUGCUGGCGACCGGCAAACGGGUGCGGAACACGUACAGAACCUUCCUUCGAGCGGGGAAUAGCCCAGAGAAAUUUGGAUUAAUACCCCAUAGUAUAUUAGAGUGGCAUCACUUUGAUAUUAAAGAUUUAUCACUUGAAGAUGGCUGUGCGGCUGAUUAGGUAGUUGGCGGGGUAACGGCCCACCAAGCCAGCGAUCAGUAACUGGUGURAGAGCACGACCAGUCACACGGGCACUGAGACACGGGCCCGACUCCUACGGGAGGCAGCAGUAAGGAAUAUUGGUCAAUGGACGCAAGUCUGAACCAGCCAUGCCGCGUGGAGGAUGAAGGUCCUCUGGAUUGUAAACUUCUUUUAUAUGGGACGAAAAAAGGGUUUUCUAACUCGUCUGACGGUACCAUAUGAAUAAGCACCGGCUAACUCCGUGCCAGCAGCCGCGGUAAUACGGAGGGUGCAAGCGUUAUCCGGAUUCACUGGGUUUAAAGGGUGCGUAGGUGGGUUGGUAAGUCAGUGGUGAAAUCCCCGAGCUUAACUUGGGAACUGCCAUUGAUACUAUCAGUCUUGAAUACCGUGGAGGUUAGCGGAAU